rnacentral:rRNA from 1 species
AUUGAACGCCGGCGGAAUGCUUUACACAUGCAAGUCGAACGGUAGAGGGGGCAACCCCUCGAGAGUGGCGAACGGGUGAGUAAUAUAUCGGAACGUGCCCAGUCGUGGGGGAUAACGUAGCGAAAGUUACGCUGAUACCGCAUACGAUCUAAGGAUGAAAGCGGGGGAUCGCAAGACCUCGCGCGAUUGGAGCGGCCGAUAUCAGAUUAGGUAGUUGGUGGGGUAAAGGCUCACCAAGCCAACGAUCUGUAGCUGGUCUGAGAGGACGACCAGCCACACUGGAACUGAGACACGGUCCAGACUCCUACGGGAGGCAGCAGUGGGGAAUUUUGGACAAUGGACGCAAGUCUGAUCCAGCCAUUCCGCGUGCAGGAGGAAGGCCCUCGGGUUGUAAACUGCUUUUGUACGGAACGAAAAGGUCUCUCUUAAUACGGGGGGCUCAUGACGGUACCGUAAGAAUAAGCACCGGCUAACUACGUGCCAGCCGCCGCGGUAA